rnacentral:tRNA from 1 species
GCAUUGGUGGUAUAGUGGUGAGCAUAGCUGCCUUCAAAGCAGUUGACCGGGUUCGAUUCCCGGCCAAUGCA